rnacentral:piRNA from 1 species
UGUUGAGCCUUGUGCAACCUUCCUCCUUC